CCUACGGGAGGCUGCAGUGAGGAAUAUUGGUCAAUGGGCGAAAGCCUGAACCAGCCAAGUCGCGUGAGGGAAGACUGUCCUAUGGAUUGUAAACCUCUUUUGUCAGGGAGCAAAGUCACCCACGUGUGGGUAUUGGAGAGUACCUGAAGAAAAAACAUCGGCCAACUCCGUUCCAGCAGCCGAGGUAAUACGGGGGGUGCGAGCGUUAUCCGGAUUUAUUGGGUUUAAAGGGUGCGUAGGCGGGUUAUCAAGUCAGCGGUAAAAUCGUGGAGCUAAACUCGAUCCAGCCGUCGAAACUGGUGAUCUUGAGUGGGCGAGAAGUAUGCGGAAUGCGUGGUGUAGCGGUGAAAUGCAUAGAUAUCACGCAGAACGCCGAUUGCGAAGGCAGCAUACCGGCGCCCGACUGACGCUGAAGCACGAAAGCGUGGGGAUCGAACAGGAUUAGAUACCCUGGUAGUC
rnacentral:rRNA from 1 species